GCGAGCGUUAAUCGGAAUUACUGGGCGUAAAGCGCAUGCAGGUGGUUUGUUUAAGUCAGAUGUGAAAGACCCGGGGCGUCAACCUCGGAAUAGCAUUUGAAACUGGCAGACUAGAGUACUGUAGAGGGGGGUAGGAAUUUCAGGUGUAGCGGUGAAAUGCGUAGAGAUCUGAAGGAAUACCGGUGGCGAAGGCGGCCCCCUCGGACAGAUACUGACACUCAGAUGCGAAAGCGUGGGGAGCAAACAGGAUUAGAUACCCUGGUAG
rnacentral:rRNA from 1 species